rnacentral:rRNA from 1 species
UACGGAGGGGGCGAGCGUUAUUCGGAAUUAUUGGGCGUAAAGGGCGCGUAGGCGGCUUGAUAAGUCAAAGGUGAAAUCCCUCGGCUCAACUGAGGAACUGCCUAUGAAACUGUCAGACUUGAGGCCGGGAGGGGGUAGCGGAAUUCCCAGUGUAGCGGUGAAAUGCGUAGAUAUUGGGAGGAACACCGGUGGCGAAGGCGGCUACCUGGACCGGUUCUGACGCUGAUGCGCGAAAGCGUGGGUAGCAAACAGG